GAUGAACGCUGGCGGCGUGCUUAACACAUGCAAGUCGAACGGAAAGGCCCAAGCUUGCUUGGGUACUCGAGUGGCGAACGGGUGAGUAACACGUGGGUGAUCUGCCCUGCACUUCGGGAUAAGCCUUGGAAACUGGGUCUAAUACCGGAUAGGACCACAUUUUGGAUGGUGUGGUGGAAAGUUUUUCGGUGUGGGAUGAGCUCGCGGCCUAUCAGCUUGUUGGUGGGGUAAUGGCCUACCAAGGCGUCGACGGGUAGCCGGCCUGAGAGGGUGUACGGCCACAUUGGGACUGAGAUACGGACCAGAAUCCUACGGGAGGCAGCAGUGGGGAAUAUUGCACAAUGGGCGCAAGCCUGAUGCAGCGACGCCGCGUGGGGGAUGACGGCCUUCGGGUUGUAAACUCCUUUCGCUAGGGACGAAGCGUUUUUGUGACGGUACCUGGAGAAGAAGCACCGGAUAACUACGUG
rnacentral:rRNA from 1 species